rnacentral:lncRNA from 1 species
GCAGAGACUGGUAAGGAAGACUGAGUGUGAAGCUUCCACAGGCCUUUGAGAUGUCAAUGAUGGGCAGUAAAUCCCCCUCUGAGAAAGGUGGCUGUUUUAUUUGUGUGUGUGUGUGGGGGGGGGGAGUAAAAAGGAAGAGAGCCACUUCAAAAUGUCUUUGGUUAUAAACGGGAGCAAGUUAUGAUUGGCUCAAUCACAUUGGCAAAAAUGCAAAAAUGUCUAAGCCUGCUAAUGAUUUUUUUUUUCUUUUAGCAAAAUGAUUCAUUUGGAUUUUGAAGGGAUUAGGAAGACACAAAUUUGGGGAUCCUGGAAAUGGAACCAAGAGCUCCAGUAUAAGAAACUAAGAACUCCGGACGCCUGGGUGGCUCAGUGGUUAAGCCGCUGCCUUCGGCUCGGGUCAUGGUCCCAGGGUCCUGGGAUCGAGCCCCGCAUCGGGCUCUCUGCUCGGCAGGGAGCCUGCUUCCUCCUCUCUCUCUGCCUGCCUCUCUGCCUACUUACGAUCUCUGUCUGUCAAAUAAAUUAAAAAAAAAAAAAAAAAAAAAGAAAAGAAACUAAGAACUCAGUCCUUCAGUUAGUUUCCCUCAAACUAUUGGUAUUUGGUCAACUACUCCUGACCCUAGCAGAAAGCCUGGGGAGUAAAAACCAGUGAGGAAGGGUCAGGUCUCAUUUUGUGACUUCAAAGUUACCUAAUUUGCUCUCACAGUUCUCUUCUCCCUUUAAACUAUGUGUCUUAGUUUGUAACCAGAAAUUAC